rnacentral:rRNA from 1 species
AUUGAACGCUGGCGGCAGGCCUAACACAUGCAAGUCGAGCGGAGUGAUGGUGCUUGCACUAUCACUUAGCGGCGGACGGGUGAGUAAUGCUUAGGAAUCUGCCUAUUAGUGGGGGACAACAUCUCGAAAGGGAUGCUAAUACCGCAUGCGUCCUACGGGAGAAAGCAGGGGAUCACUUGUGACCUUGCGCUAAUAGAUGAGCCUAAGUCGGAUUAGCUAGUUGGUGGGGUAAAGGCCUACCAAGGCGACGAUCUGUAGCGGGUCUGAGAGGAUGAUCCGCCACACUGGGACCGAAACACGGCCCAGACUCCUACGGGAGGCAGCAGUGGGGAAUAUUGGACAAUGGGGGGAACCCUGAUCCAGCCAUGCCGCGUGUGUGAAGAAGGCCUUAUGGUUGUAAAGCACUUUAAGCGAGGAGGAGGCUCUUUUGGUUAAUACCCAAGAUGAGUGGACGUUACUCGCAGAAUAAGCACCGGCUAACUCUGUGCCAGCCGCCGCCGUAA